GGGGAUGACGUCAAGUCAUCAUGGCCCUUACGGCCUGGGCUACACACGUGCUACAAUGGUCGGUACAAAGGGUUGCCAAGCCGCGAGGUGGAGCUAAUCCCAUAAAACCGAUCGUAGUCCGGAUCGCAGUCUGCAACUCGACUGCGUGAAGUCGGAAUCGCUAGUAAUCGUGAAUCAGAAUGUCACGGUGAAUACGUUCCCGGGCCUU
rnacentral:rRNA from 1 species